CCUACCAUUAUGAAUUCUCAUGAGAGAAUAUACAAACAAAAGACUGGGCAUUUGUAUCCUGAAGCCUGUACAGCAGUAACAAAUACAAGUCAGCCACUGGAGAAGUUUGGGUGAGAAAGUGGAAUGGUUAGAACGGAGCUUCAAAGCUGUAGAUGGACUCCAGCAACGGAGAGCAGCACCAGAAGAUGACGGAAGCUUCCAGAGAGAGCACUAGAAUCCUGGAAACAUGGGAGGAAAAGAAAAAAUAAAGAAAAGCUUUCCAGGUGACAGAAACAGGGAAGAGGCAGAACAGACCUCAGGACUCACAGAACAAGUCUCAUCUCCUCUAGGCCUCCACAGCCCUGUCUGAUUUGCAUAUGAAGAGACAGGUUCACAGGGAGGAAGAUCAAGAUUGGUAAAGAUCACAGCUAUGCUUCAGACAUGUACACACGUCCGCAUCCCGUAAACUGCUUGUUAUCGCCCAGAAAAUCCCAAUAAGCUUUGCCUGGGAGAGAGCUGUAGGAAGACCAACUGAGGCCUCAUUGUCUGCAGGAGAAAAAUCAAUGGAGCUUUGGUGAUCAGUUAUAAGUCCGAUAUAUCCAUGCCUGCUUUUAUGAUUUGCUAUGGUUAUCAAGGACAGGAAAGCAGAGUAGUGAGAAAAAUAAAUGCAAGGGUCCUGAUUGCAUACUGUCCUUUGGAGUAAGACAGACCAGAUAAGUUAGCUCAGGGAUGUGUUUGUAUCUCUAGAGAGAAAGAAAAAAACAUUGUGUACUUGUUAAUUUGAUGUUACCUUGACACAAGCUAGUCAUCAGAGAAGAGGAAGCCCCAAUUGAGAAAAUGCCUCCGUAAGAUCCAGCUAUAAUGCAGUUUCUUAAUUAGUGAUCAAUAGGGGAUGCCCCAGCCUGUUGUGGGUAGUACCAUCCCUGGGUUAGUGGUCCUAAGGUCUAUUAAAAAGAUCAAGCCGAGCAAACCACAGGGAGAGAGACAGUGAGCAGCAUCCCUGCAUGGUCCUGCCUCCAUAUCCCUACCCUUACCGCUUUUGAUAAUGAACUGUUAUAUGGGACUGUGGGUAAAAUAAACUCCUCCCCAAGUUG